CACACAGUAAACGAUAAUCACUAGGUGUCGGGUUCGAAGAGGAUUCGGUGCCGCAGCUAACGCGUUAAGUGAUUCGCCUGGGGAGUACGAUCGCAAGGUUGAAACUCAAAGGAAUUGACGGGGGCCCGCACAAGCGGUGGAGCAUGUGGUUUAAUUCGAAGCAACGCGAAGAACCUUACCCGGUCUUGACAUCCAUAGAAUCUUUCAGAGAUGAGGGAGUGCCGGCUUGCCGGAGCUAUGAGACAGGUGC
rnacentral:rRNA from 1 species